GACGAACGCUGGCGGCGUGCUUAACACAUGCAAGUCGAGCGGUAAGGCCCUUUUGGGGGUACACGAGCGGCGAACGGGUGAGUAACACGUGGGUGACCUGCCCUCAGCUCUGGGAUAAGCCUGGGAAACUGGGUCUAAUACUGGAUAUGACCUUUCCUCGCAUGGGGUUGGGUGGAAAGUUUUUCGGCUGGGGAUGGGCCCGCGGCCUAUCAGCUUGUUGGUGGGGUGAUGGCCUACCAAGGCGACGACGGGUAGCCGGCCUGAGAGGGCGACCGGCCACACUGGGACUGAGACACGGCCCAGACUCCUACGGGAGGCAGCAGUGGGGAAUAUUGCACAAUGGGCGGAAGCCUGACGCAGCGACGCCGCGUGGGGAUGAC
rnacentral:rRNA from 1 species